GCCAGGGUUGCCAAUAGAGGUCAAGGAGCGGGGCUUAUAACUUCGUAAGGCAAACACCAGAUAAGUGUUGCAAUGUGGGUUCGAGUCCCACCCCUGGUACCA
rnacentral:tRNA from 3 species